GACGAACGCUGGCGGCGUGCUUAACACAUGCAAGUCGAACGGUAAGGCCCUGCUGUUUGGGUGUGCUCGAAUGGGGAACGGAUGAGUAACACGUGAGUAACCUGCCCCUGACUUUGGGAUAACUACAGGUAACUGGGGCUAAUACCGGCUAGGAACGCCUGCUGCAUGGUGGGGGGUGGAAUGUUUCGGCGGGUGGGGAUGGACUCGCGGCUUAUCAGCUUGUUGGGGGGGGAGUGGCUUACCAAGGCUUUGACGGGGCGCCGGCCUGGGAGGGUGACCGGCCACACUGGGACUGAGAUACGGCCCAGACUCCUACGGGAGGCAGCAGUGGGGAAUAUUGCACAAUGGGCGGAAGCCUGAUGCAGCAACGCCGCGUGCGGGAUGACGGCCUUCGGGUUGUAAACCGCUUUCACCUGUGACGAAGCGUGAGUGACGGUAAUGGGAAAAGAAGCACCGGCUAACUACGUG
rnacentral:rRNA from 1 species